AGGAAGAGAUAGGGCUUCAGUAUCCGCCUCAGCUAAGCGCUUCCGCCUGCGACUGCCGACUGCAGUUGGGCUCUCCGUACCAGCGUCCAGCUCCGCUCUGGCCCUACGGGUCCACGGGGCUCGUAGACCUUAUUUUCCUCUAGGGUCUCUUCAGUCCCUACCCCACCCGUCAGCUGCCUCGAACCGUCUCUGCAACUUCUCCGUUCCUCGGUUCCUCUCAAGGGUUUCACGGUCAAAAGCUCCAGUUUCAGUGGGACCGACCUGGUCCUAAGACACGGCCUUGGCACUUAAGAGUGUGACCAUGUGUGGCUGUGAAAUCACUUAGGGGACAAAUUCUCUGAGCCUCAGUUUCCUCCUCGUUAAGAGAGGGAAACUAAUAACUAAUUGGGCCAUUGGGAGGACGAAAUGAGAUACCACCACAGAACAAGUAGCCCAGUGCCUAGCCGGAAGGAAGUCCUGAAACGUGGGAAGCUGGUGUUACUCGAUGCCGCAGUGUCCCAAUGUAGAGACUUGGGCUUCAGCUGCAACCAAGACAGCUGCUUCCUGAAGGCUCCAAGGUAACCAGCUGCCUGCAGCACUGGGCUCUAGUGACUCAGCCCACCCCCAGCUUCCUUUCCUGCAUCAAGGUGAGGAGGCUUCUGACCAUGUGUGGCUGAGAGGACUGAGUCAAGGGCUGACUCCCACUGAUUCCCUUCCCUGAGAAUGUUUGCGGGGCAGAUCGGGGGUGGUUGUGUCCAGACUGGUGUCCACAACCCUGUAACCUCUCAAUAAAAGAAAGUUGGUGCUGAGCCAGUGAUCAGAUA